GAAUAUAUAACUAUUUUUCAUUAAAUAUAUUAUGCUAACAUGUAAUAGGUUUAUAAUAAGUAACUCAAAUAACAAACAGUUUAAAUUUUUUUGUUUUAACUUUUAAUGCAGUAAAUAUCAUAUCUAAACUUAUAUAAACAAAGUUUUUGAGAUCUUCAAUGAUUUUUAAGAGUGUAAAGAGGUUCUGGGGCCUCUACUAGAGUAGAAGCACUACUCUAAAUAGUUGUUUUUUUGUUUUUUGUCUUUUUGCCUUUUCUAGGGCCGCUCCUGCGGCAUAUGGAGGUUCCCAGGCUAGGGGUCCAAUCGGAGCUAUAGCCACCAGCCUAAGCCAGAGCCACAGCAACACGGGAUCCGAGCCGCGUCUGCAACCUACACCACAGCUCACGGCAACGCCAGAUCGUUAACCCACUGAGCAAGGGCAGGGACUGAACCUGCAACCUCAUGGUUCCUACUCAGAUUCAUUAACCACUGCGCCACGACGGGAACUCCCUAAAUAGUUCUCCAAACUUGGGCUAGUCUCCUUUGACUAUUCACAGGAAGAUAGUGCUUAGGGCUAAAGGGGUGGUAGAAAAUGAUCACUUCCUGGUAAGUUUAGGCAGGGGAAUAUUGUGAGGAAGGAUCUUCAGAAAUUAGAGUUAGCAUUGUAACAGUUCAUUCUCACAGUGUUGGGCAGGUCUAACAGAGUAGGACCAUUGAGUUUAAGGAAGGCAAAACAAGCCCUCUGAGGAAAGAUAGGCUGCAAGUCAGUAUUGAGGAAAAAGAAAGAGCUGAAACCCUUUUCAAAAGUUUUUUUUUUAAAUCUUUUGCCUUUUUUUUGGGCUGCACCCAUGGCAUACGGAGGUUCCCAGGCUAGGGGUUUUUAAUUAGAGCUGUAGCCCUGGCUGACACCAUAGCCACAGCAAUGCGGGAUCUGAGUGAAGUCUGCGACCUACGCUAUCUCUCACAGCAAUGCCAGAUCCUCAACCCACUGAGCGAGGCCAGGGAUCAAACCCAGGUCCUCAAGGAUGUCAGUCAGAUUCGUUUCCGCUGAGCCAUAACCGGAAAACUUCUCCUUUCCUGAUCAAAAAAGACAAAAGGGAUCACAACUGAAUCUCACUGUGGGCCCACAAUUUCUCCUCAAGAAGUCAUAAUAGAAAGUGUUAAAGGAGUUCCCUGGUGGUGCAGGGGAUUAAGGAUCUGGUAUUGUCACUGCUGUGGCUCAGGUUGCUGCUGUGCAGGUUUGAUCCAUGGCCCAGGAAAUUCCAUAUGCUGUGGGCAGGCCAGAAAACUUUUUAAAAUAAAAAAUAAAUUGAAGUUCCCACUGUGGCACAAUGGGUUAAGGAUCUGGUGUUGCCUUAGCUGUGCAUAGGUUGCAGCUGAGGCUUGGGUUGGAUCCUGGCCUUGAAAUUUCCACAUAAUAAAUAUUUUUUUAAAUUAAAAAUAACAAAAUAAAUUAAAAAGAGUGUUAGGACAGUGCAUUGGUGGAAUGGUACUUUGGUCAACUCUCAAAAUUUAGCUUAAAGAUUGAUGAGGGAAGCCCUCUAUUGUCUAUCUCCUCUUCAAUCAAUAAGAAAACAAAGUCAGCCCUGAGGCUCAGGACCUUUGGGAUUCUUACAGUCUGAGGGUAGAAAGUGAUGUAUAUACCUGAGUAUUAUUUAGACACUGAAUUUAAUAAGGAGAAAACGCCACAAGAAACCAUUUGACUCAUUUCAGUUGCUCAGGGUCCUGAAAUUUCCAUCUCAGUGUGAUGAAAAGAAUUAAAGUAUGAGCUAACUCAAAAAUGGGUUGCUGUCUAAGAGGAAAGGGAAAGAAUGGGAACCAGUUCUAGCUUCAGAAGGGAUUGUUCUGAAAUUAGGAAAAAGAACAUCACCAGUGAGGUCACAGCAAGAACUGGAAUCCCCCAGGAGGCUCUACAGUCCUUGGUUUGGUCAUUGCAGGAAGCUUUCCUGAUAGCACCCUGGAUAUAGACAUAGGCCAUCCUGGUAACCAAUUAUCAUUUAUUUUCCUCAAGACUUAGGUGUGAGGAAACUAAAGAAUAGUGAUAUAUGUGAACCCCAGAGUCAGCCUGCCUGGAUUGAUGUUGUAUCCCAUGGUCUCAAUAUCCUUCCCUGUAAAAUGGGAAGAAUGAUAGUACUGACUUUAUAAGAUUCUUAUGAGGAUUACCUAAGAUACUGCAUACAAGAAACUCAACACAAGACAUGGCACAUAACUAAGUGCCUAAUAAAUGGAAGUUAUUAUUAGGGAGAGUCUUUGCUUCCUAUUCCCAUCUGUGAGCAGUUUUUCCAUUACUUUUCAACAGAAGCCUUUUCUCUCCAAGAUGCUGAUCUUGGAGGCAUCUGGUCCCUGAGUCAUCACUAAGAUGCUGGGUUUCUGAAGUCAUUCCUUCUACUCUUCUCUAAGGGCUCCCUCUCCUGACUGCUUAACUCUCGCGGAGGCUCAGGUCCACAAUCCAGGCAGGGAGUGUAGGUAGGGCUUGGCCACCUGUCUUAGGAGAAAGGUUCCCAGUCCCCUUAGGAGUCUCCCUAAGACUUGAGAGACCCACCGGACACAGAGAAAUGCCCCAGCCCAGAAACAGGAGUGAGGUAGGGAGGUGAGAGUGAGGUUGAGGAAGGGGGCGUGCUCCCGAGGUUCGCGCGAGGCCACACCCCGAAGUCAGUUUGCUGGUGGGCGGAGCCACACGCGGAGGUGAGCAGCUGGGGGCGGGCAACAACCCGUGGUGGAAACAAGGCCAAGGUCGUGGCCGCGGCCCGGCCGCCGGGACGCUUAGGAAUGGCCAGUCCUCUCCACAGGCGGCGCGCGCAGCCGCCCAGGGCAGGAGGCAACGCAGAGAUUAAGGCU
rnacentral:lncRNA from 1 species